rnacentral:rRNA from 1 species
UACGUAGGGUGCGAGCGUUAAUCGGAAUUACUGGGCGUAAAGUGUGCGCAGGCGGCCGAGCAAGUCGAGUGUGAAAGCCCCGAGCUUAACUUGGGAACUGCGCUCGAAACUACUUGGCUGGAGUGUGGCAGAGGAAGGUGGAAUUCCACGUGUAGCGGUGAAAUGCGUAGAUAUGUGGAGGAACACCAAUGGCGAAGGCAGCCCCCUGGGUCAACACUGACGCUCAUGCACGAAAGCGUGGGGAGCAAACAGG